GGCUACACAUGCAAGUCGAGCGGCAGCGGGAAAGUAGCUUGCUACUUUUGCCGGCGAGCGGCGGACGGGUGAGUAAUGCCUGGGGAUCUGCCCAGUCGAGGGGGAUAACUACUGGAAACGAUAGCUAAUACCGCAUACGCCCUACGGGGGAAAGCAGGGGACCUUCGGGCCUUGCGCGAUUGGAUGAACCCAGGUGGGAUUAGCUAGUUGGUGAGGUAAUGGCUCACCAAGGCGACUAUCCCUAGCUGGUCUGAGAGGAUGAUCAGCCACACUGGAACUGAGACACGGUCCACAGACUCCCGGGAGGCAGCAGUGGGGAAUAUUGCACAAUGGGGGAAACCCUGAUGCAGCCAUGCCGCGUGUGUGAAGAAGGCCUUCGGGUUGUAAAGCACUUUCAGCGAGGAGG
rnacentral:rRNA from 1 species